AAUAGAUACCCCGGUAGUCCACGCCCUAAACGAUGUCAACUGGUUGUCGGGGAAGCAAUUCCUUGGUAACGAAGCUAACGCGUGAAGUUGACCGCCUGGGGAGUACGGCCGCAAGGUUAAAACUCAAAGGAAUUGACGGGGACCCGCACAAGCGGUGGAUUAUGUGGAUUAAUUCGAUGCAACGCGAAAAACCUUACCUACCCUUGACAUGUACGGAACCUCGCAGAGAUGUGAGGGUGCCCGAAAGGGAACCGUAACACAGGUGCUGCAUGGCUGUCGUCAGCUCGUGUCGUGAGAUGUUGGGUUAAGUCCCGCAACGAGCGCAACCCUUGUCAUUAGUUGCUACAUUCAGUUGGGCACUCUAAUGAGACUGCCGGUGACAAACCGGAGGAAGGUGGGGAUGACGUCAAGUCCUCAUGGCCCUUAUGGGUAGGGCUUCACACGUAAUACAAUGGCCGGUACAGAGGGCUGCCAACCCGCGAGGGGGAGCUAAUCCCAGAAAGCCGGUCGUAGUCCGGAUUGUUCUCUGCAACUCGAGAGCAUGAAGUCGG
rnacentral:rRNA from 1 species